rnacentral:rRNA from 1 species
UACGUAGGGUGCGAGCGUUGCCCGGAUUUAUUGGGCGUAAAGGGCGCGUAGGCGGUCACGCACGUCCGUUGUGAAAUCGCUCGGCUCAACUGGGCGGGGUCAGCGGAUACGGCGUGGCUGGAGCAAGCUAGGGGGCAAUGGGAAUUCCCGGUGUAGUGGUGGAAUGCGUAGAUAUCGGGAGGAACACCAGUGGCGAAGGCGGUUGCCUGGAGCUUUGCUGACGCUGAUGCGCGAAAGCGUGGGGAGCGAGUCCGG